rnacentral:rRNA from 1 species
UACAGAGGUCUCAAGCGUUGUUCGGAUUCAUUGGGCGUAAAGGGUGCGUAGGCGGCGCGGUAAGUCGGGUGUGAAAUCUCGGAGCUUAACUCCGAAACUGCAUUCGAUACUGCCGUGCUUGAGGACUGGAGAGGAGACUGGGAUUUACGGUGUAGCGGUGAAAUGCGUAGAUAUCGUAAGGAAGACCAGUGGCGAAGGCGGGUCUCUGGACAGUUCCUGACGCUGAGGCGCGAAAGCGUGGGGAGCGAACAGG